AAUGAACGCUGGCGGCGUGCUUAACACAUGCAAGUCGAACGAGGCUGGGGGGGCAACUCCUCAGUUUAGUGGCGGACGGGUGAGUAACACGUGGGUAACCUGCCCGGAAGUGGGGAAUAUCUCGGGGAAACUCGAGCUAAUACCGCAUAACAUCUUUAGGACGAUGGUCCUGACGAUCAAAGCGGGGUCGCAAGAUCUCGCGCUACCGGAUGGGCCCGCGCCUGAUUAGCUAGUUGGUGGGGAACGCUCACCAAGGCUUCGAUCAGUAACCGGCCUGAGAGGGCGAUCGGUCACACCGGAACUGAGACACGGUCCGGACUCCUACGGGAGGCAGCAGUGGGGAAUCUUGCGCAAUGGGCGAAAGCCUGACGCAGCAACGCCGCGUGGAGGAUGAAGGCCC
rnacentral:rRNA from 1 species